UACGAAGGGGGCUAGCGUUGUUCGGAAUUACUGGGCGUAAAGCGCGCGCAGGCGGUCUUCCAAGUCAGUGGUGAAAGCCCGGAGCUCAACUCCGGAACUGCCAUUGAAACUGUUGGACUUGAGUACGAGAGAGGUGAGUGGAAUUCCCAGUGUAGAGGUGAAAUUCGUAGAUAUCGGGAGGAACACCUGUGGCGAAAGCGGCUCACUGGACCAUAACUGACGCUGAUGCACGAAAGCUGGGGGAGCAAACAGG
rnacentral:rRNA from 1 species